rnacentral:lncRNA from 1 species
UUCCCAACAAUGGGCCUGGGUGGGAAUGGUUCCUGAAGAAUCAAUUAAAACUAUUCUAAGAGAUAAAAUUGCAUCCUAAAAUAAGUAAAACAAAACAACAAUAGUCUGUGAGUCAGGCACCAAUUCAUGAUAGUAUUAGUCACCUCUUCAUUUUUCUGUCUCUAGGGUUAGAAGCAUAAGUCAGUGGAAGACAGAAGAGGCCAAUCUGCUUCUCCAUCAACCCAUUAGGCAAUGACAAAACUGCAACAAUACUGAGCUGAGAAAAGAAAAAAAAAAAAUGUAAGUGAAAAAAGAAUACAUUCUUCAAGAGUUUCUCAAAGUGAUUCUUUAUAUGGUCAAUAUUCUGAAGUUUGAUUGAAUCUGACGUCCUUAGUUUUCAAAUGUAAUUACAAUGUUAAGAAGCCUGGGAUCAAUCUAAAUAUUUUUCCUUGGUAGGUAUGCUCAUUCUCUGGAAGCAUUUCCAUUUCUCUUCAUUGUUCUAGAAUUUAAUUGUAAUAUGUGUAAGUAAUAAUAAUAGCUAAUAAUUAACAAGUGAUUAUGUGCAAGGCACUAUUCUAGGGGUUUUACAUAUAUUAACUUAUUUUAUCCUCUCAAUAAUAUUUUAAGAU